UCUAACACUGUGUGAACACAUAGCUACUACUGAUAUAAUGUAAACUCUGACAGUAGUAAUCUCCUGCAUCUUC